UGCUCUCCUGCACUUCCGCCCAGUCACAUGGAUGAUGGAUAGCGUUGGGAGCUGUUUUCUCUAUCUUCCAGGCUGGAAUGCAGUGGCGUGAUCUCAGCUCACUGCAACCUCUGCCUAUCCAUAUGUUUCUGUCGGGCUGACUCAUUCCACUUUUGAAGCACCCAGUGGAUUAGUUAGUCUUAUUAUUGCAUUUACUGUCACCUACACACUUGUUUGUGGGAAGGCACUCCUCUUGGCAUUUGCUUAGUUGGAAAAGGGAACACUAAGACUAUAGCCACUGGAUAAUGCUCUUGAAGUUCACGGCACUGUGGCAGCAUAAAGCU
rnacentral:lncRNA from 1 species